UGAACGCUGGCGGCGUGCUUACCACAUGCAAGUCGACCGAAGCAUUUGCGACAGAUUUUUUCGGAAUGAAGUUGCUUAUGACUGAGUGGCGGACGGGUGAGUAACGCGUGGGUAACCUGCCUUGUACUGGGGGAUAGCAGCUGGAAACGGCUGGUAAUACCGCAUAAGCGCACAAUGUUGCAUGACAUGGUGUGAAAAACUCCGGUGGUAUAAGAUGGACCCGCGUCUGAUUAGCUAGUUGGUGAGAUAACAGCCCACCAAGGCGACGAUCAGUAGCCGACCUGAGAGGGUGACCGGCCACAGUGGGACUGAGACACGGCCCAGACUCCUACGGGAGGCAGCAGUGGGGAAUAUUGCACAAUGGAGGAAACUCUGAUGCAGCGACGCCGCGUGAGUGAAGAAGUAAUUCGUUAUGUAAAGCUCUAUCAGCAGGGAAGAUAGUGACGGUACCUGACUAAGAAGCUCCGGCUAAAUACGUG
rnacentral:rRNA from 1 species